GACGAACGCUGGCGGCGUGCUUAACACAUGCAAGUCGAACGGAAAGGCCCUGCUUUUGUGGGGUGCUCGAGUGGCGAACGGGUGAGUAACACGUGAGUAACCUGCCCUUGACUUUGGGAUAACUUCAGGAAACUGGGGCUAAUACCGGAUAGGAGCUCCUGCUGCAUGGUGGGGGUUGGAAAGUUUCGGCGGUUGGGGAUGGACUCGCGGCUUAUCAGCUUGUUGGUGGGGUAGUGGCUUACCAAGGCUUUGACGGGUAGCCGGCCUGAGAGGGUGACCGGCCACAUUGGGACUGAGAUACGACACAGACUCCUACGGGAGGCAUCAGUGGGGAAUAUUGCACACUGGGCGGAAGCCUGAUGCAGCAACGCAGCGUGCGGGAUGACGGCCUUCGGGUUGUAAACCGAUUUCGCCUGUGACGAAGCGUGAGUGACGGUAAUGGGUAAAGAAGCACCGGCUAACUACGUG
rnacentral:rRNA from 1 species